GGGGGUGAUCGGUUUCGACGGUGGUCGUGCUUCAGGGAGAAGCGGGCCGAGAAUGCAGACUUAUCUCGUUAACGAUGUCUGCAAACCUAUAGGUGCCGAUAACAAGCGCACCGACUUCGCCCUCGCCGCCUGAGCGAGCCUCGAAGUCCGUCAGCCCGGGAUAGCUCUCGUCCCGGUUCCUGGCGUCAGCUAGAGAGCCACUGCUCGCGUCGUUCGUCGGUGACGACGCGGGGACUUUCAGCCGACUGGGCCCGUCAGCACCUUGUCCGUGUGAGUGCUGGGGCCGAGAAAAGCGGAGCGGACUGCGCCCGGAGAAGUCCUUGAUAAUCGCUGCCGGACCGGGGUUCGAUUCCCCGCACCUCCACCC
rnacentral:tmRNA from 1 species